UACGUAGGUGGCAAGCGUUGUCCGGAUUUACUGGGCGUAAAGGGCGUGCAGGCGGUUUGUCUAGUCUAGGGUGAAAGCUCCCGGCUUAACUGGGAGAGGUCCUUGGAUACUGGCAAACUUGAGGGAGGCAGAGGAAAGUGGAAUUCCCGGUGUAGUGGUGAUAUGCGUAGAUAUCGGGAGGAACACCAGUGGCGAAGGCGACUACCUGGCCUGUUCUUGACGCUGAGGCGCGAAAGCUAGGGGAGCAAACGGG
rnacentral:rRNA from 1 species